CCUACGGGGGGCUGCAGUAGGGAAUCUUCCGCAAUGGACGCAAGUCUGACGGAGCAACGCCGCGUGAGUGAUGAAGGGUUUCGGCUCGUAAAACUCUGUUGUUAAGGAAGAACACUUGAGGUAGUAACUGGCCUUGAGAUGACGGUACUUAACCAGAAAGCCACGGCUAACUACGUGCCAGCAGCCGCGGUAAUACGUAGGUGGCAAGCGUUAUCCGGAAUUAUUGGGCGUAAAGCGCGCGUAGGCGGUAAAAUAAGUCUGAUGUGAAAGCCCCCGGCUCAACCGGGGAGGGUCAUUGGAAACUGUUUUACUUGAGUACAGAAGAGGAGAGUGGAAUUCCAUGUGUAGCGGUGAAAUGCGCAGAGAUAUGGAGGAACACCAGUGGCGAAGGCGGCUCUCUGGUCUGUAACUGACGCUGAGGUGCGAAAGCGUGGGGAUCAAACAGGAUUAGAUACCCUAGUAGUC
rnacentral:rRNA from 1 species